GACGAACGCUGGCGGCGUGCUUAACACAUGCAAGUCGAACGGAAAGGCCCUGAUUUUGUGGGGUGCUCGAGUGGCGAACGGGUGAGUAACACGUGAGUAACCUGCCCUGGACUUUGGGAUAACUUCAGGAAACUGGGGCUAAUACCGGAUAGGAGCUCCUGCUGCAUGGUGGGGGUUGGAAAGUUUCGGCGGUUGGGGAUGGACUCGCGGCUUAUCAGCUUGUUAGUGGGGUAGUGGCUUACCAAGGCUUUGACGGGUAGUCCGCCUGGGAGGGUGACCGGCCACAUGACUACUGAGAGACGCGCCAGAGUCGUACCGGGACCAGCAGUGAGGAAUAUUGCACAAUGGUCGGAAGCCUGAUGCAGCAACUCCCCGUGCGGGAUGACGGCCUUCGGGUUGUAAACCGCUUUCGCCUGUGACGAAGCGUUAGUAACGGUAAUAGGUAAAGAAGCACCGGCUAACUACGUG
rnacentral:rRNA from 1 species